GUGCACUUUUCCAGUUCAGGCCAGCAUCAGUUUUCGCCGGGGGAUAAAGGCUUCGGGAAUGUAGCUCUCUUCGGGGAGUGUUAUAGCCCGUUGUGUAAUACCCUGGCGGAGACUGAGGUUCGCGCUUCUGCAAGGAUGCUGGCGUAAUGGUCAUCAACGA
rnacentral:rRNA from 1 species